UACGUAGGGAGCAAGCGUUGUCCGGAAUCAUUGGGCGUAAAGCGCGCGUAGGUGGCCUCAUAAGUCCGCUGUGAAAGUCAAAAGGCUCAACCUCUGAAAGCCGGUGGAUACUGUGAGGCUAGAGUACGGAAGAGGCGAGUGGAAUUCCUGGUGUAGCGGUGGAAUGCGCAGAUAUCAGGAGGAACACCAAUAGCGAAGGCAGCUCGCUGGGACGUUACUGACACUGAGGCGCGAAAGCCAGGGGAGCAAACGGG
rnacentral:rRNA from 1 species